GAACAGCACAGGAACAUCCUGGAGGACAGACCUUCCCACCUCUCAUGUGGAUUGAGCACACAUGGCAGAAUGGGGGCCCAGGGUUCAACUCCCCACCUCUUCUCCUUCCUCAUCCCCUCUGUCCUCACCAGGGAUCCAGAGCAUCAGCAGCCACAGCAUCUGAGCAGGAGCCUCAUUUUGAGAAGCCUCAGCAUUGAGUUUAGCUGUUUCCAGAGAACUAGUGUCUGCUGUCACCUGGAGAAGCACAAGAACCUCAGGGACAGUGUUAGACAUCGUCUUUUCCUGGCCCAGAGAAGGAAAUAAGAGCACAAGGGUCAAAAGAGCUGAUGAGAAAGAAACCUGUGUUUCAGCUGGAGACCCAGCAGCCCUGCCCAAGGACAGAGGAGACGGGACAUGUCCACCUGAGGCAGGAGCUGUAUCCACCCCCACCACCCAUGUGCCUGGCAGCUGAGCACCAACACAGAGGAGAGAUAGCUCAUGGAGCUCAAGAGGGAGUAGAGGAAGCCCCGUGUCCCUGGAGCACAGCUAUCCUCCACCUAAGAGAUCCUGGAUCAGAAACCUCUGAGGACACAGUUGAGGCAGAGCACUGUCAAUCA